GAUGAACGCUAGCUACAGGCUUAACACAUGCAAGUCGAGGGGAAACGAUAUUGGAAGCUUGCUUCCGAUAGGCGUCGACCGGCGCACGGGUGAGUAACGCGUAUCCAACCUGCCCACCACUUGGGGAUAACCUUGCGAAAGUAAGACUAAUACCCAAUGAUAUCUCUAGAAGACAUCUGAAAGAGAUUAAAGAUUUAUCGGUGAUGGAUGGGGAUGCGUCUGAUUAGCUUGUUGGCGGGGUAACGGCCCACCAAGGCAACGAUCAGUAGGGGUUCUGAGAGGAAGGUCCCCCACAUUGGAACUGAGACACGGUCCAAACUCCUACGGGAGGCAGCAGUGAGGAAUAUUGGUCAAUGGACGAGAGUCUGAACCAGCCAAGUAGCGUGCAGGAAGACGGCCCUAUGGGUUGUAAACUGCUUUUAUAAGGGAAUAAAGUGAGUCUCGUGAGACUUUUUGCAUGUACCUUAUGAAUAAGGACCGGCUAAUUCCGUG
rnacentral:rRNA from 1 species